rnacentral:rRNA from 1 species
GGACGAACGCUGGCGGCGUGCUUAACACAUGCAAGUCGAACGGAAAGGCCCAGCUUGCUGGGUACUCGAGUGGCGAACGGGUGAGUAACACGUGGGUGAUCUGCCCCAAACUUCGGGAUAAGCCUGGGAAACUGGGUCUAAUACCGGAUAUGACCUGCUCCUGCAUGGGGGUUGGUGGAAAGCUUUGCGGUUUGGGAUGGGCCCGCGGCCUAUCAGCUUGUUGGUGGGGUAAUGGCCUACCAAGGCGACGACGGGUAGCCGACCUGAGAGGGUGAUCGGCCACACUGGGACUGAGACACGGCCCAGACUCCUACGGGAGGCAGCAGUGGGGAAUAUUGCACAAUGGGCGCAAGCCUGAUGCAGCGACGCCGCGUGAGGGAUGACGGCCUUCGGGUUGUAAACCUCUUUCGCCAGGGACGAAGCGCAAGUGACGGUACCUGGAGAAGAAGCACCGGCCAACUACGUG